rnacentral:rRNA from 1 species
UACGUAGGUGGCAAGCGUUGUCCGGAUUUAUUGGGUUUAAAGGGUGCGUAGGCGGUCCUAUAAGUCAGUGCUGAAAUAUCCCGGCUUAACCGGGAGGGUGGCAUUGAUACUGUGGGACUUGAGUAAAGUUGAGGUUGGCGGAAUUGACGGUGUAGCGGUGAAAUGCUUAGAUAUCGUCAAGAACACCUAUUGCGAAGGCAGCUAACUAAGCUUUAACUGACGCUGAGGAGCGAAAGCGUGGGGAGCGAACAGG